AGGACGAACGCUGGCGGCGUGCUUAACACAUGCAAGUCGAACGCGAAAGUCCCCUUCGGGGGAUGAUUAGAGUGGCGCACGGGUGAGUAACACGUAGGUAAUCUACCUUCGAGUGGGGAAUAACUCAGGGAAACUUGAGCUAAUACCGCAUAAUGCAGCGGCACCACAUGGUGACAGUUGUUAAAGCAUUUAUGCGCUUGAAGAGGAGCCUGCGGCAGAUUAGCUAGUUGGUAAGGUAAUGGCUUACCAAGGCUACGAUCU
rnacentral:rRNA from 1 species